CAUAGGUUAAUGAGGCGAACCGGGGGAACUGAAACAUCUAAGUACCCCGAGGAAAAGAAAUCAACCGAGAUUCCCCCAGUAGCGGCGAGCGAACGGGGAGCAGCCCAGAGCCUGAAUCAGUGUGUGUGUUAGUGGAAGCGUCUGGAAAGGCGCGCGAUACAGGGUGACAGCCCCGUACACAAAAAUGCACAUGCUGUGAGCUCGAUGAGUAGGGCGGGACACGUGGUAUCCUGUCUGAAUAUGGGGGGACCAUCCUCCAAGGCUAAAUACUCCUGACUGACCGAUAGUGAACCAGUACCGUGAGGGAAAGGCGAAAAGAACCCCGGCGAGGGGAGUGAAAAAGAACCUGAAACCGUGUACGUACAAGCAGUGGGAGCACGCUUAGGCGUGUGACUGCGUACCUUUUGUAUAAUGGGUCAGCGACUUAUAUUCUGUAGCAAGGUUAACCGAAUAGGGGAGCCGAAGGGAAACCGAGUCUUAACUGGGCGUUAAGUUGCAGGGUAUAGACCCGAAACCCGGUGAUCUAGCCAUGGGCAGGUUGAAGGUUGGGUAACACUAACUGGAGGACCGAACCGACUAAUGUUGAAAAAUUAGCGGAUGACUUGUGGCUGGGGGUGAAAGGCCAAUCAAACCGGGAGAUAGCUGGUUCUCCCCGAAAGCUAUUUAGGUAGCGCCUCGUGAAUUCAUCUCCGGGGGUAGAGCACUGUUUCGGCAAGGGGGUCAUCCCGACUUACCAACCCGAUGCAAACUGCGAAUACCGGAGAAUGUUAUCACGGGAGACACACGGCGGGUGCUAACGUCCGUCGUGAAGAGGGAAACAACCCAGACCGCCAGCUAAGGUCCCAAAGUCAUGGUUAAGUGGGAAACGAUGUGGGAAGGCCCAGACAGCCAGGAUGUUGGCUUAGAAGCAGCCAUCAUUUAAAGAAAGCGUAAUAGCUCACUGGUCGAGUCGGCCUGCGCGGAAGAUGUAACGGGGCUAAACCAUGCACCGAAGCUGCGGCAGCGACGCUUAUGCGUUGUUGGGUAGGGGAGCGUUCUGUAAGCCUGCGAAGGUGUGCUGUGAGGCAUGCUGGAGGUAUCAGAAGUGCGAAUGCUGACAUAAGUAACG
rnacentral:rRNA from 1 species